UACAGAGGGUGCGAGCGUUGUCCGGAAUCACUGGGCGUAAAGGGCGCGUAGGUGGUCGGGUAAGCGUGCGGUGAAAGCCCGGGGCUCAACCCCGGGUCGGCCGUGCGAACUGCCCGACUGGAGCACGGUAGAGGCCAAUGGAAUUCCGGGUGUAGCGGUGGAAUGCGCAGAUAUCAGGAGGAACACCGAUGGCGAAGGCAGGUCUCUGGGCCACUACUGACGCUGAGAAGCGAAAGCAUGGGGAGCGAACAGG
rnacentral:rRNA from 1 species